GCGCCCGUAGUUCAAUUGGAUAGAAUGUCGGACUUCGAAUCCGAAGGUUGGAGGUUCGAGUCCUCCCGGGCGCA
rnacentral:tRNA from 1 species